AAGUCGGGGUUGGUGAGGGUCGUCUGACUCUCUCAGUAGCAAAUCGGACUUCAGGGGGGCGUUCCAGAUGAAUUUCCGACUCGGAGCCCAGAAAUCCCAACUUCCGAGUACAACUGGAAUGUAGCAUUAAUGUACUGUCUGAAGGCCUAAAGCAACUUCCCCUGCCUUGAUUUUUGUCUUUUUAAAUGUAAAUCAUGGUCAGUUUUGUUGACAAUUAAACAAAGUAAAUACAAAAACAAUGUCAUUGCUAUUUAAUUACCAAAUCCAUGUACACCAAUCAUUAGAUAUUUAAAUAAAAAGUAUAAAUGCCACAAUCAAAAUACAUCAAAAGGCCAAAUUAACAGUCCGCAUUACACAAUUCAAAUAAAGGCUGAAAAAGACAGUAGUCUUAUUACUUUAUGGUGUAUAUUACCAGUAGCUCAAAAAUAAUAGCAAUUUACUUAAAAUAUUGCAACGUUGUUUCGAAAGUCUAACAGUGAUCAGUGGGAAUAGAGCAAUUAUACAAUUAUAUUAACUCCCUACCCUUAGUGAAUGUGAUCUGCCUUUUCUGAACCAUGUGGGCUCUUGUCCUGACUUUGGAAAGUUUGGUGAUCUGUGAGCUAAAUGAGACGAUGUACCAAAUGGAUGGUUGUGCCCUCAGCCUAAAAAGAUGUGUGUGUGUGUGUGUGUGAUCAGUGUCUGUCCCAGACCGCUGCAGGGUAACUUCCUGCCCUGAUGUCCAUUACUCAGUUUGACGGAUGGAGGGAAAGCAGAGGGAAUGGAGAGGAGAGGGAUGGAAGGAAGGGAGGAGAGAUAGAGUUCAAAGGAAGCAGUGGUCAGUAGAUUAGGGUAGGAUGGGCGAGGAGCGUGAAUGAGGGUAUGGAUGGGGGAACUUAGGCCUUGGGAGGUUGAGGUGUUAAAGUGAGAUUAGUGGAGGUGAGGGAACAUAGUAACAAGAGAUGAUGAUCUGGGAUCUGGGCAGGAGAGAGGAGAUGGUGCAGAUAAGAAAUGGAGGAGAGGGUGGAGGGAGAGGAUGAGAAGAUAAAGCUGACAAUAUUUUGCUAAUUGGUUUAUUUCUACACCGUAAAUCCAUCCCUUUUACUGUACAUACAUCCCUUGCUGUCAGUGAGAUAAUUUUCAAUUCUUGCAUCUUUGCGAGAAGUGGAAAAAAAGCAACUAUGAAAAAACUGGUGUCAUUUAAAUAAAUGAAGACCUGAAACUGUAUUACAAAGAGAGAAAAGAAGAGCAGAUCAAAAUUUAACAAGUGCAAUGAGAUGAGAUUUUAAAGCAGGGUUUCCUGACAAGUUACAUGAUUUUACUUAUUUUUGUUAGUGUCUCUGUUUUUUUACUUCACACUGAUGCUGAGGAAAAAAAUAAUUCUUUCAAUAACAGGUGCAGCUCAAAAAUUAAGUGGUGCCAAAAAAUGAGCUUUCUUCAAGCUUUACCCAUAAGUUAAUGGAAAAAGUGAAAUUUCCUUAUAUUCUAGAUUCAUCACACUCAAAGUGAAACAUUCAGAACUUUGUUUGAACCUUGAUGAUAACAGCGUCACAAAACCCCAAAACACAACAUCGCAAAACUACUAUAAAAUACCCAUCCCCAAAAAAAUGGAUUUACAGUACAGGAAUGUCAACUCUCUGGGAAAUGAUGUUCAUUUAUGCUCUUAGUACUUGGUUGGAGCUCUCUUUGACACUGAUUGCCCCUAAACCACAUCACAUUGAUCCAGCAAUUCAUGCAGAGAUAUGGAAUCAGAUUUUUGUCAAAAACAAUCAAACAAAACCACUUCAACAUCAAACAAAAAUAAGAAUUUGAGAGAGAAUAAAAUUCACUGAAGCAAAAAAAAAAGUAAAACUUGUAACUUGCAAACAAAUUAUUUGUACAAUUGUGUAGACUACUGUCUAUAGACUACUAUCUUUUUGUGUCAUUUAUGUUGAGAAGACCUUGUAGAAUAAACAUUUUAUCAACCUAAACGUUUGACUGGUGAGGGAUGUCAUUUCAAUGCGGAAAAUGCAAACCUAUGAUGACUGAUUGACUUGAACUGUGUAAAUACAGUGUUCUGUGGUGAUCGAGCCCACUGUAUCAUUUAGCAUAUAUCUACACCGAGAGGAAAACAAGCAACUAAAAUCAAAGGGUUUCACUGAAACUUCUGUCUGCCGAAAUAUGCGUCCACCUCUCAUUCAGCGUCAUAGAAUGUAGUAGGUUAUAUUACUGUACAAAGGGAAUCCACGCUGUCCAAAUAUGAGCUGGCAGCAGUUUGUGACUCCAAAAAAUCAGAAUUAUAACUUAUUGGGUGGAUGCAUUUUUCGGCAACAGCUGUUAUUCUUGCUGCCGAAAUGCGCAUCCACCCGUAAUUCUGGUUCUUUUUACAAUAAUAUGACCUGUUACAGCCUAUGGAGCUGAAUAACAGGUGGAUGGAUAUUUUGGCAGAUAGAAAACAGCUGAUAAAAGGUUCAUAUCAUAUCAACUUUUCAGUGAAACCCUUUGAUUUUAGUUGCUUGUUUUCCUCUCGAUGUAGGUAUAUGCUAAAUGAUACAGUGGCCUCGAUCACCACAGAACACUCUAGUACACUCUAAUUACACAGUUCAAUUCAAUCUCUCAAAUUCUCUCUCAAAUUCUUAUUUUUGUUUGAUGUUGAAGAAGUUUUGUUUGAUUAUUUUUUGACACAAAUCUGAUUCCAUACAGAGAUCCUUUAUGGGGUUCAGGUCAGACCAGUUUACAGACAAGUACAGUAAUACCAUGAUCAACAAGCCAGUUCCUGGUAGUUUAGACAUUAGGGGCUAGAAUUUCAAUGAAGCUGUGGAAACUUCAUACUUGACUUCAAGCACCUUGGAGUCUGGUCCCCUUUAGUCUUCCUCUGGACUCUGUGAUCUUGAUUUCCAAAUGAGAUGCUAAACUGACUUUAACCUGAAAACAAGACGGACCACUGAUUAAUCUAGAAUAAUGUGGACGUUUCACUUUUUUGACUGAAGUUAUCCUGUAAAGAAGCUGCAAGUACAAACCUGUCUGCUGGUUUGCUUGUUUGCUUGUUGCAGGUGGGAUAGAGUUUAACAGAAAUUUUGCACUGGCACCAGCUUUAAGCUCCAGUGGAGUGUAGUUGAUGGGAGCUGUAAAGGCGACCCAAAACACUAGUGCAAUUAACCAAAACAGUGCCCGCCAAGAUACUAAAACAUCUCCUAAAGUAGAGGGCUGCAGAUGUGGGGUAUUAAUCUAGAAUUAUGACAUUUAUCCACUCGAUUACAAGGGCACCAUUUGCAAUUAGCAAGAAAAUCAUUUAACUUAGAUAUAUUUAACAUCUAAUUAAUCUCAUCUUGUAAGCCAUUUUAGGGACUCCACUUCUGAAGAACACUAACAGACAAGAACUUAAGAAGAAAAUUAAAUGAUCUGUUCCUUACAGGAUCAAUAACGUUACAACAUAAAUGCAGUAAGUGAUGAUGAGAUAAUAGGGAUAAAAAUGAUGAAUGAAUGAAAGACUCUUAAUUAGGCUCUGACUAUUGCAGUUCCUGACAGUGAGUAAAUAUUCUCUGACAUAUUAGCCUGCAUUAACUGUGGUGUAGAGAUGAAUUUGGAUGUGAAUUUGGAUGAAUUGAGAAUUACUCCAAUAAGUGAUUGUUUAAAUCAUGAACGCAUGAGACAAUAUCAGCCCUUUUUGGAGCUCUGGAGGUUUGCAUACUUAAGUGAUGCUGGUCCUUGGAGAGGAUGGUGCAGGUACACCGAAGGUGUGGGCUACCAGCAGUUUAAGAGGUUUGGCUCAGAGAAGGACUGAAGUCAGCCUGAAGAUGGGCAAGGAGUCACACAUAAACCUGAAAGCAGAACCGGCACCUUUAGUAUUCUUUGGUCUAACCAUAAAACUCUGGCUCAGAGGAUGACUUUGAGCCCGCUGUGUGACAUUCAGAGGCAACUUUGGAAUAAUGCAGAUAACUAAGAAAAAGAAGCUUGAUGGCCAGUCAAAACUAUUUAAGAAAUGCCUUUGAGAAAUUAAAGGAAACUAAGUUACAGGCUUAAUCUCAAACGGCUGUGUGCAAAAAUAGUUUAAGUUUUAAAACGUGAACUAAGAAAAUGUCAAAAAAAAAAAGUGACUGAGCAGGAAAGAAAAGAGUCUGAGAGAGUAAGACUAGGAGAUUCUGAUUAUUUGAUCCAUCUUUAGCUGGUAAAGGAGUCAGAUCUGAUACCCACUUACUAUGAUCAAACCUAUUGAAUACUUUGUUUACAUUAAAUGAUUUGAUACUGACUCAACUGUCUGCUGAUGUUCCUCCUAAAUGACCAUGGGGCUUAAUGAUUGUGUGGGUGUGUAAUAUUUGGAUCGUGAUUAACUAUUGUGCUAAUGUGUUGAUUGUGAUCUUUUAUCUGGUGUUUCUUCUUUAUGAAUGGCUGUAAAUGUGUCUGUAAAUGUCUUGGUAACUGUUCUGCUGCUUGUCUUGGCCAGAAAAGAGAUCUUUGCUUUUUCCUGGUUAAAUAAAGGUUAAAAGAAAUACUAAACAUAUAUGAGAGGAUGAAAUAAAAUCAGGUUACACAUUAUUCUCAUCAUGUUUAAAGAAUCACUGAUAAAUUAAUCUGAAAUGAAAUAGAUCAUAACACAUAGAAACCUUUAAAAAACAAAAGUAAACAUAUAUAUUUGAACUUUUUAUUAUUAAUAUGGAUUUUUAAAUACUUGGAUUCAAUCAUUUAAUGAUAUUAGAACCACCUGAUGGUUAAAAAUGCCGAAAAACUAUCAAAAUCUGAACGAAACAUUUCUAAACUAUUGCUGGUACUUGGAGUUAUGUUAUGAUUCAUAUGAUCCUAACUCUUCAGAGUUCAUGAAACAGUGUGGGAGAGAGCUUUGAGUUCAAGAAAAUAUGGCUUGAAUCUGACAAGUUGAGAUCUUGGCUUAAGGACUACCAAGAAAAUCAGGACACACAUUUCAUGGUAGGACAAAAUAUUAUAUUGUUUAAUGAGUCAGAUAAUGAGUCAGUCAUUUUCAUUCUUUCACCAAAGGAGCUCAUGAUCUCAGCAGUGAAUGGUAAAUCACUUAAAUAGCAAAGUUUUAUUUUAUUUUUUUCCUUUUCAACAUUCAAUAUGUGUAUUUUCAAUGUUUUCAAUUAAAUUAGGGGUAUCAAUUCUUUGCAAACUAUCACCAUUUUCUAUAGAUUCCCCGAGUAUUUCGGGACAGGGGUUGUACAUUAAUAUCAUUUACCAUCAAUUCCUCUCUUCACUUAAAAUGCCACAGACUUACAAAGCCCUAGAGCACAAAUUAUCCUCAGUUAUGCUCUCCUUUUCAGCUGUAUGCUGUUAUUACCAUCAGUCUAAAAACAGCUCAAUAAGUAAUCUGUAUCUGUCUCAGCUUGGCCCUUGGCUCUGAUGCGCUCCGCUCGGGGUCUGUUUGGUUAUGCAGUGAUUGCCUCCUUCCUUGCCCUCUUCACUUGCUGCCUUCGAGCAUCACAGCUUUGGCGUACACAAAACUGUAUUUCUCAGUCUCCCCAGACAGUAGACCAAUCUAUGUGCUCAUAUUCAUCUUAGCUGGAACUGAUCUGUUCUCUGUCUAAUGCACUGGCCUUUCCCCAGAGGUAAGGUGAGGCCCCCAUCAUAUUCCUCC
rnacentral:lncRNA from 1 species